GGCCAGACUCCUACGGGAGGCAGCAGUGGGGGAUAUUGCACAAUGGGGGGAACCCUGAUGCAGCGACGCCGCGUGGGUGAAGAAGUAUUUCGGUAUGUAAAGCUCUAUCAGCAGGGAAGAAAAUGACGGUACCUGACUAAGAAGCCCCGGCUAACUACGUGCCAGCAGCCGCGGUAAUACGUAGGGGGCAAGCGUUAUCCGGAUUUACUGGGUGUAAAGGGAGCGUAGACGGCGGCGCAAGUCUGGAGUGAAAGCCCGGGGCCCAACCCCGGGACUGCUCUGGAAACUGCGGCGCUGGAGUACGGGAGGGGCAGGCGGAAUUCCUGGUGUAGCGGUGAAAUGCGUAGAUAUCAGGAGGAACACCGGUGGCGAAGGCGGCCUGCUGGACUGCAACUGACGUUGAGGCCCGAAAGCGUGGGGAGCAAACAGGAUUAGAUACCCGGGUA
rnacentral:rRNA from 1 species